rnacentral:rRNA from 1 species
UACGGAGGGUGCGAGCGUUGUCCGGAAUCACUGGGCGUAAAGGGCGCGUAGGCGGCCUGAUAAGUAGGGGGUGAAAUCCUGCGGCUUAACCGCAGGGCUGCCUUCUAAACUGUCAGGCUAGAGCACAGUAGAGGCAGGUGGAAUUCCCGGUGUAGCGGUGGAAUACGUAGAGAUCGGGAAGAACAUCAGUGGCGAAGGCGGCCUGCUGGGCUGUUGCUGACGCUGAGGCGCGACAGCGUGGGGAGCAAACAGG